AGCAAAAUGAUGAAGUAACAUGCUCUGAAUGCAAUGUGGAAAAUGGAAACACAAUGGUCUUCAAAGUUCUCUGAUUGCU